UAUUGCUGUGUAGAUUUUCUUUUGUACAUUGUUCAAAAAACUUGUGGCCUGAGCUUGGCUGAGUUGACCUAUUUAAAAAGCUGGCAAAACAUUCCAAGUUGAUGAUUUACUUGGAGUAUUAGUAGUUUCAACCCAACAAGUUUCUGGAUUGUUGAAACUGAAGUGAAACUUUCAGUUUCUUCUGAGAAUUGCCAGCAUUUUGUUUGGUAUCAUCUUUUUGUUGAUUCGGUUAACUCCUUUACUGCCUCUAACACAAGCAAAACCCCAUUGAAAUUGGUGAUCUUUUGGCUUGUAUUAUUGGUUUCUGCAGGCUUGUAAUUGCAAGGUCCCCUUCAUGGUUACACUUGUAAUUUGUUUUCUCUUUCUGUACCAAUUUCUUCUGACCGAGGUUUAUGAAUGUUGCAGAGACACCCGAACCAAUGGAAACAGAUUUCAUGUCCCAAUUCAUUGUAUCGUUUUUUUCUCGUGACCAUUCAAUUUCUUUGAUACAAUGUUCCUACUACUCCAAUAUACGUUUAUUUAUUUAUUUUGUUCUUUUUGGUAGCAAAGAUACUUGUUGAAUCCUUUUGAUUACACAACUGGCUCAAAGUAUUUGUUAGUCAACCUACAUCUAGAUUUAGAGGUGUGGAGAAGGCAUGUGCUGCUCUCCAUAAGCAACCAAUUUGCCACACUGGCAGAUGUCUGGCAUGUACAUGAGCUGCCUUGUACAUGCAUGUGUUGACCAAAACCCAUAGUACCAAAAGGCAAGAAAGAAAAAAGAUAAAGAUCUUUUGCUUUCUCUGCUUUUACCUUUUUUCAAAUUGUUGUAUUGAAACAUGAAUCUAUUGCUCAUGAAACGAUUUGAAUAUUAAGGUUUCCUUGUAUGUAGCUUUUAGUGGAUAAUUUUAAAUAGUCGAUAUUUUGAUGGUCUUUUCUUGUCUGUAUCCUUUUAAAUCCUUCACUCUCUUACACAAUUUGUACCACAUUCUGAUUUUGCAGAGAGGAAAUGAUGUUCCGCAUUCACCAGUGACUUGUGCAUAUUUAGUUGUGGAGAUUGAAGGUGCUAAAUUGUUUAUUGAUAAUUAUAUUAAUUGACAGGUGGGUCUUCUUAAUGUGGACGGUUACUACAACUUCCUUCUUACUUUCAUCAAAAAGUUGUGGACGAUGGAUUCAUCAAGCCCAAUCAGCGCCACAUAAUCAUGUCCGCACCAAACGCCAAAGAGUUGGUGCAGAAACUAGAGAUACCAAAGGCAUCGACAAAUACCCGAAAGUUCAGAAGCAGAUGCAGGCCUUGUUGGCCACAUUCACCUUGAUAAGGUGUGUUUGCCCUGCAUAAAAUUUGGUUUAGUUUCUUUCUUGAGAUAACUUAUUUUCAGAAACAGUGACACUAUAAAUUCUGCUACAUGUGGAACUCGUUAUUAAUUUAAUCAGGAUAUUAGCUUCUGCCAGAUAAUUUCAUUUAAAUUCUGCUGUACUGAUUUUGAAGAACAUUCAAACUGGCCCUUGUUUGACUACAAACAACACAGUUUGAAUAAAUCAUCAAUUAUCCCAUGGUUGAUACGUGUGCCAUAGAAAUUGCAUGUGCAGAGGGUGUAUGUAGAGCUAGCAUAUUUAUUUCUAUAUUGGCCUUUUCUUGUUUAACAGCAACCUUAUAUAGUGUAAGCAUAUGGACACUGCAAAAACUUUCUUCUUUUUUCCUUGUUGGUGCAGGUCAGGUGCAUCAUGCAAGUUUUUUUUUUUUUUAAAAAUAAAAAUAAAUUCUUAGUAAUGUUUCAAGGUAUUGUCCAAUCCAUGCAGUUUUCUCACUGGCUCUUUGGGUCUCACCAAAUAAAUGGACUGAUUAAGAGUGAUCAUUCC